UUAAAAAAAAAAUCAAUUGUUUAAGUCAGAGGUGUUCUGUGUAUGGGUUGAAGCUCUCUAAAGAGACCUAUAAAUUACUGUUUUAUUACAAAAAAUUAAGAAUCAACAAUAUGGCUUUGACUUGAAAAAAUACUUUUUGUGUUAGCUUUACAAAAGUUUGUUAAUUGUUUACUGUGGAGUUGUUUCAUUUUGAUGCAUAUUUUUUGGCAGAAAAUCUCAAGGCUUAAAAUGUUACCUUGUUAUUGUCAGCACAUCAACCCCCGAUCUGUUGUUGGCACCUUUUUAAGCAGUUCUUAACCAACUUAACGCUGAUUCCCCCCAUACCCAUAGUGCUAAAAUGGCAUAGAAGGUCCUUGUUUCAUCUUCCCAUUAGACUGGGUGACCCAGGCUAGGCCUGCUGUGGGGAUAUUCGCCAUUCCUGCACAGCAGCACUUGCAUUUUACUUUGGGUAAACAGUGAUAAACUUUAUGGACUAGCUUAGCAUGAGAGAAACACUGGACGACAUCUUCUCCAUUGGCUGGCACUCCUUAACUCCUCCAGAGUCAGCCGUGUAUUAGACACAUAUGAAGAAAAUGGCGGUGGCACUCGCAGGCACUGACUUUAUUACAUCACACAGCGACCGGAUGCUGAUAAACAUGUCUUUGCUCAAACAAAACAAAUAUGCUUAACGCCUGCUUUAACUUGAUUGAACUCAUUCAUUGGAGAGAAAAUCUAAAUUUUAAAAAGUUAUUUGCACACCUGUGGUCAAUGUAUGGUACUGUAUAUUUACCCAAGCCAGCCUAUAGAAUUUUAAAUCUUGCACAAACAGCAGUGGGCAUGAGUUAGUUUUCAUCUCAUUCAUCCUACACUACCUUUUUAGAGUUUGUUGCUGAAACGCUUAUUGUUGAGAGAUCAAAGCUCACAACUCAUUAAAAGUCCCAAGAGAUGUUUUGUAAACUGCACACAUUUUUUGUUUAUGAUCAUUGGACAUUGGUUGAGAUUUUACUUGUGUUGGCAGACAUUUUUACAAAACCCUGUAAAAAUACCUUUGAUUUAUUCUCAUGGUUACACUGAGAUAAUUCUACCAGGUUAAACUACAGAAGACAACCAGCAUUUAAAGGCUUUAGCUUUAGUAUUAAUCAAUAUUUCUUUGAGAUAUAAAGCAUCAGAUAUGUAUACACCACCUCUUUUUUGCCUAAAACGAAAACUUACAUUCAUAAUAACUUCUAUGCCAUCAGAAUGCCUCCAUCAAAACACACAAAUAUGCCACAGCAUGACCUGGUGGUCUGGCUGUUUACUCCCUGUUCAAGCUUUUGGUUAUAACCUCGGAAUAAACUGUAUUGUUGUCUUGUUAUCUAUCGUCUCCCACCGAUGGAAGUAUGUUCUGUGACCGAUGUAGCAUCCUUAAAAUAUAUUCGGCCCCUGAACGUUAUGGAGUAAUCAGAGUUAAGAGAAGCAGGCAUUAUUUUUUCUCAGCAGGAGGUAUUUGUAAUGGAAUCAUUUGAGAAAUCGCUUUAGCCCAAAAUAGGUUUAGUAAUGUUUGCAUUAUCUUCUUUUAUUGAGAGAAAGUUUUCAGCAUUCUGUUCUUGUUAUCAGCAUCUUUUAUGUUUUCACUCUGCAGUGCUAGGAACUACUAUUCAGGACAGUACAAUGAGACCCGCUUUUAUGUCCUGCACCAAGACUUUCUGCGAUAUAUACGCAACAGGUUUUUAAAAUCAGUCAAUCUUAAUAAAGGGUUCUGGGCCAUUGUCCGACCAACCAAUGGGGCGUUUGCUCUGUUUACGGCUCUGCACAUUUGUGACACAGUGGAUGCAUAUGGAUUCAUGACAGAAGAUUAUGCAAAAUACUCCAACUACUACUUUCAAAAGUUUUUGAAAACCAAAGUCGUUUUCUACGCAAAUCAUGACUACAUUAUGGAGAAGAAUUUGUGGAAGAGCCUCCAUGACAAAAAAAUUUUAAAGCUGUUUCAAGGAAGUGAAUCACAGCAGAAAACAGAAGAGCCAUAAACACAAUGGAAAGGGUCAAACUGAUUACCAACCUGAUCAACAACAUUUGCAACAUAUAAAUUCUGCUUCAUAAGUAUUUCUAUCUCCCUCUCUUUAAUACAUUUUUAUUUGAAGAGUUUCUGAUUUUUGCCACAGUAGUUCUCACCAGGUUAAAAUUAUAAAAACAUUGUACUAAAAUACAUCACUCCAGCAUAAAGCAAGUUU